AACGAACGCUGGCGGCAUGCCUAACACAUGCAAGUCGAACGAUUGCCUUCGGGUGAUAGUGGCGCACGGGUGCGUAACGCGUGGGAAUCUGCCCUUGGGUUCGGAAUAACAGCUGGAAACGGCUGCUAAUACCGGAUGAUAUCGCGAGAUCAAAGAUUUAUCGCCUGAGGAUGAGCCCGCGUUGGAUUAGGUAGUUGGUGGGGUAAAGGCCUACCAAGCCGACGAUCCAUAGCUGGCCUGAGAGGAUGAUCAGCCACACUGGGACGGAGAAACGGGCCAGACUCGUAGGGGAGGGGGCGGUGGGGAAAAUUGGAGAAUGGGCGCAAGCCUGAGCCAGCAAUGCCGCGUGAGUGAUGAAGGCCCUAGGGGUGGAAAGGUCUGUUACCCGGGAAGAUAAUGACUGUACCGGGAGAAUAAGCCCCGGCUAACUCCGUGCCAGCCGCCGCCGUAA
rnacentral:rRNA from 1 species